rnacentral:rRNA from 1 species
CAGCAGCCGCGGGAAUACGUAGGUGGCAAGCGUUGUCCGGAAUUAUUGGGCGUAAAGCGCGCGCAGGCGGAUCAGUUAGUCUGUCUUAAAGGUUCGGGGCUUAACCCCGUGAUGGGAUGGAAGUUGCUGAUCUAGAGUAUCGGAGAGGAAAGUGGAAUUCCUAGUGUAGCGGUGAAAUGCGUAGAUAUUAGGAAGAACACCAGUGGCGAAGGCGACUUUCUGGACGAAAACUGACGCUGAGGCGCGAAAGCCAGGGGAGCGAACGGGAUUAGAUACCCGAGUAGUCCCUGUCUCUUAUACA